rnacentral:rRNA from 1 species
GAUGAACGCUAGCUACAGGCUUAACACAUGCAAGUCGAGGGGAAACGACAUCGAAAGCUUGCUUUUGAUGGGCGUCGACCGGCGCACGGGUGAGUAACGCGUAUCCAACCUGCCCAUCACUUGGGAAUAACCUUGCGAAAGUAAGACUAAUACCCAAUGAUAUCCCACGAAGGCAUCGGAAUGGGAUUAAAGAUUUAUCGGUGAUGGAUGGGGAUGCGUCUGAUUAGCUUGUUGGCGGGGUAACGGCCCACCAAGGCAACGAUCAGUAGGGGUUCUGAGAGGAAGGUCCCCCACAUUGGAACUGAGACACGGUCCAAACUCCUACGGGAGGCAGCAGUGAGGAAUAUGGGGCAAUGGGCGAGAGCCUGAACCAGCCAAGUAGCGUGCAGGAAGACGGCCCUAUGGGUUGUAAACUGCUUUUAUAAGGGAAUAAAGUGGGUCACGUGUGACUUUUUGCAUGUACCUUAUGAAUAAGGACCGGCUAAUUCCGUG